UACGUAGGGUGCAAGCGUUGUCCGGAAUUAUUGGGCGUAAAGAGCUCGUAGGCGGUCUGUCGCGUCUGCUGUGAAAACUCAGGGCUUAACCCUGAGCUUGCAGUGGGUACGGGCAGACUAGAGUGGCGGUAGGGGAGACUGGAAUUCCUGGUGUAGCGGUGAAAUGCGCAGAUAUCAGGAGGAACACCGGUGGCGAAGGCGGGUCUCUGGGC
rnacentral:rRNA from 1 species